GACGGAGGGUGCUAGCGUUGUUCGGAAUCACUGGGCGUAAAGGGCGCGUAGGCGGGCUCUUAAGUCAGGGGUGAAAGCCCAAGGCUCAACCUUGGAAUUGCCUUUGAUACUGAGGGCCUUGAGACCGGAAGAGGUCGGCGGAACUGCGAGUGUAGAGGUGAAAUUCGUAGAUAUUCGCAAGAACACCAGUGGCGAAGGCGGCCGACUGGUCCGGUUCUGACGCUGAGGCGCGAAAGCGUGGGGAGCAAACAGG
rnacentral:rRNA from 1 species